rnacentral:rRNA from 1 species
UCACGCACUUGUACUGUGAAACUGCGAAUGGCUCAUUAAAUCAGUUAUCGUUUAUUUGAUUGUWCUUUACUACCUGGAUACCUGKGGUAAUUCUAGAGCUAAUACAUGCGAAAAAWCCCSACUUCYGGAAGGGAUGUAUUUAUUAUAUUAAAAACCAAUGCCAGUCUUCGGACUCGUUUUCUUGGUGAUUCAUGAUAACUUUUCGAAUCGCAUGGCCUAGCGCCGGCGAUAUUUCAUUCAAAUUUCUGCCCUAUCAACUGUCGAUGGUAAGGUAGUGGCUUACCAUGGUUAUAACGGGUGACGGACAAUUAGGGUUCGAUUCCSGAGAGGGAGCCUGAGAAACGGCUACCACAUCUAAGGAAGGCAGCAGGCUCAAAAAUUACCCAAUCCCAAUUCSGGGAGGUAGUGACAAGAAAUAACGAUACGGGGUCUUAAUARGUCUCGCAAUUGGAAUGASUACAAUUUAAAUCCUUUAACKAGGAUCAA